AAGAACCAGUCCACACAGCGCGUUGCGUCAGCUUUGCGUCGACGCAGCGCUGCCAUUGCGUUAUUUUAGGGUUGUUUCA